AGCUCCGACAGCUUGCGGAAAAUGGUGUGUUUCAAGGCCGCUCCAGCAUGGCACCACAGUUUCCUCUGACAGUGAUCGACCAAUCACGAGGAAGUGAUUGUAGGGUUUAAUUGAUUCAUGGUCCUUCAUUUUGAGACGAAAGAGCAAGGAGACGCGACCGGUAAAGCGCGAAGGACGUAUAGGAUUCGUGCAAUGUGUGGACCAGCUCAAUAAUACGUAAAAUGUGUUUACAUUACGAUCGGUUACACCACCCCCAGACGCCUCCAGAUGAGUCGUCUUCCUAUGGCAUGAGAUCGACGGUGAGUACAACGACGUACCAUCACUGCAGUUGUUGAAGCGCACUAAUCUGCUCACAUGGCUGAGCCUUAUUACGGCGUCUCCCCAACGUGCCCUGCUCCUCAAGGAAAUUUCCCUGGUACCUCCCCACGCGGCAGCAGACAGAGACGAAUGCCGUGGGGGCUGCUACAGGCAUUAAAGGAUAUCGACCAUAUCUAAUUUUUAAUUCCAUUUGUUGUUGACUGGUAUUUCAACCCCUUCGUCAUGGGUUCUUCCGAGAGUACAGAAGAACCUGCGCUGAAAUCGAUCGUCAUUAUGCGAUGAAAUGUAGAGAGCACGUGGCCGUAGAAACGUUGGUGUUGGCGUCCUACAGGAGGGGCAAAUUCAUUAAAGGGAUUUAUGGCAAUUGAAGAGAUCCUUUCCUGUAAAGAGACUGAGCUCAGCCCGGAUCCCCGUACGCUGAAAUAAUCUUUAUGGACUGGUCCUAUCAGAAAGGUUCACGCUGCGAAAUGCGUCGAUGGAUUUAGCAGACUAGACAACGUUUAAGAGAAGGUAUGGUCUCGGAGUGUCCAUCUCGCCUAACAUCAUAGCUACUUAGACCGUUGGCGUGCAGCUCAGGGGUUUGUCAAUAGCCGAACAAAGGAUGGACACAGCUUAUCAUAAUACGGAUAAGUCUCCCCAGGAAAUGCUGAGCCGAACCUGUUAACAGAUUUAUAUCUCCGUAAUUCCUCCAGUGGCGCUACAAUAUCAGAUUGUGUUCUUACAGUGCAAGCUUAUGGAAUCGUUUUAGAUGG